GACGAACGCUGGCGGCGCGCCUAACACAUGCCAGUCGAACGGAGCUGCGAGAAGCUUGCUUUUCUUAGCUUAGUGGCGAACGGGUGAGUAACGCGUGAGUAACCUGCCCUGGAGUGGGGGACAACAGUUGGAAACGACUGCUAAUACCGCAUAAGCCCACGAUCCGGCAUCGGAUUGAGGGAAAAGGAUUUAUUCGCUUCAGGAUGGACUCGCGUCCAAUUAGCUAGUUGGUGAGGUAACGGCCCACCAAGGCGACGAUUGGUAGCCGGACUGAGGGGUUGAACGGCCACAUUGGGACUGAGACACGGCCCAGACUCCUACGGGAGGCAGCAGUGGGGGAUAUUGCACAAUGGGGGAAACCCUGAUGCAGCGACGCCGCGUGGAGGAAGAAGGUUUUCGGAUUGUAAACUCCUGUCGUGAGGGACGAUAAUGACGGUACCUAACAAGAAAGCACCGGCUAACUACGUG
rnacentral:rRNA from 1 species